rnacentral:rRNA from 1 species
GAUGAACGCUGGCGGCGUGCCUAAUACAUGCAAGUCGAGCGAACAGACGAGGAGCUUGCUCCUUUGACGUUAGCGGCGGACGGGUGAGUAACACGUAGGUAACCUACCUAUAAGACUGGGAUAACUUCGGGAAACCGGAGCUAAUACCGGAUAAUAUUUCGAACCGCAUGGUUCGAUAGUGAAAGAUGGCUUUGCUAUCACUUAUAGAUGGACCUGCGCCGUAUUAGCUAGUUGGUAAGGUAACGGCUUACCAAGGCAACGAUACGUAGCCGACCUGAGAGGGUGAUCGGACACACUGGAACUGAGACACGGUCCAGACUCCUACGGGAGGCAGCAGUAGGGAACCUUCCGCAAUGGGCGAAAGCCUGACGGAGCAACGCCGCGUGAGUGAUGAAGGUCUUCGGAUCGUAAAACUCUGUUAUUAGGGAAGAACAAACGUGUAAGUAACUGUGCACGUCUUGACGGUACCUAAUCAGAAAGCCACGGCUAACUACGUG